rnacentral:tRNA from 1 species
GGGAAUUUAGCUCAGUGGCACAGCGCCUGCCUGGCAAGUAGGAGGUCCUGGGUUUGAUCCCCGGUACCA